rnacentral:rRNA from 1 species
UACGUAGGGGGCGAGCGUUGUCCGGAUUUACUGGGCGUAAAGAGCGUGUAGGCGGCCAGGCAGGUCUGUUGUGAAAACUGGAGGCUCAACUUCCAGACGUCGACAGAAACCGCUUGGCUAGAGUCCGGAAGAGGAGAGUGGAAUUCCUGGUGUAGCGGUGAAAUGCGCAGAUAUCAGGAAGAACACCGAUGGCGAAGGCAGCUCUCUGGGACGGUACUGACGCUGAGACGCGAAAGCGUGGGGAGCGAACAGG